GUAGAAGAAUUUCAUAUCAAUGACGAAGAUGCAGCCUGAAUUCCAUUGUUGUCUUUUCCUAGGAUGGAGGAUGCAGAAACCCACUCAAGCCACAGGAAUCACAUGGAUUGGUAUUGUGAAGAACUGGAAGCUGGAAGGGACUUGGAAACUCACCCUGGUCAGAACAACCUACAUGCAUAGAAACUUGCGUGACUCGGUUCCGACCCGUGGAAAACUGCCACGAAGUACCUGGAUUGAGGAGUGGGGCCAUGGAUGAGGCAAGCAACAAGAGAAAUGGAGACAAGACAGGGCUCUGAUCAAGUCUCGUUUAUUGCAGCUCAAGC